rnacentral:rRNA from 1 species
UACAGAGGGUGCAAGCGUUAAUCGGAAUUACUGGGCGUAAAGCGUGCGUAGACGGUAGCGUAAGUCGGGUGUGAAAGCCCCGGGCUCAACCUGGGAAUUGCAUUCGAGACUGCUCUGCUAGGGUGCGGAAGAGGGGAGCGGAAUUUCCGGUGUAGCGGUGAAAUGCGUAGAUAUCGGAAGGAACACAGUGGCGAAAGCGGCUCCCUGGUCCAGCACCGACGUCAGGCACGAAAGCGUGGGGAGCAAACAGG